rnacentral:rRNA from 1 species
UACAGAGGGUGCGAGCGUUAAUCGGAAUUACUGGGCGUAAAGCGCACGUAGGCGGCUUUCUAAGUCGGGGGUGAAAUCCUGGAGCUCAACUCCAGAACUGCCUUCGAUACUGGAGAGCUUGAGUCCGGGAGAGGUGAGUGGAACUGCGAGUGUAGAGGUGAAAUUCGUAGAAUAUUCGCAAGAACACCAGUGGCGAAAGGCGGCCUCAGCUGGCCCGGUACUGACGUGCCGUGAGGUGCGAAAGCGUGGGGAGCAAAACAGGUUGAGAU